AAAAUUUUCCAUAGCAGGAAAGUGGGCCAGGGUUAUCCCGAGGACCUUCCGUUGAAGAAUGUUUUUACCCCUUUUAAAAAGGUGGGGGAUUAAGGAGAGGCCAAUUUUGGGUUCAGCCGCCCCGGUAAUACCACCUCUCGGAGUGUUGGGGAGGUUUAUUGGGCUUAAAGCUUCCGUAGCUGUUUAACAUAUUCUCCUGUUAAAUCCACCGAAUUAAUCGUUGGAUCGCGGGGGAUACUAUAAGGCUAGGGGACGAGAGAGGCAGACGGUAUUCUCGGGGUAGGGGUGAAAUCCUAUAAUCCCGGGAAGACCACCAGUGGCGAAGGCUGUCUGCCAGAACGCGCCCGACGGUGAGGGAUGAAAGCUGGGGGAGCAAACCGGAUUAGAUACCCGGGUAGUCCCAGCUGUAAACGAUGCAGGCUAGGUGAUUGGACAGCUUCAUGCUAGUUCCAGUGCCGCAGGGAAGCCUGUUAAGCCUGCCGCC
rnacentral:rRNA from 1 species